GAGGAAUAUUGCGCAAUGGGGGAAACCCUGACGCAGCAACGCCGCGUGGGUGAUGAAGGCCCUCGGGUUGUAAAGCCCUGUCGGAGGGGACGAUGCCGCCGGACCAACACUCCGGUGGUGACGGUACCUUCUAAGGAAGCACCGGCUAACUCCGUGCCAGCAGCCGCGGUAAUACGGAGGGUGCGAGCGUUGUCCGGAAUUACUGGGCGUAAAGCGCGUGCAGGCGGCCUGUUAUGUCGGGUGUGAAAUCCCUCGGCUCAACCGAGGAACUGCGCCCGAAACUGGCAGGCUUGAGUGCGGGAGGGGAUGGUGGAAUUCCCGGUGUAGAGGUGAAAUUCGUAGAUAUCGGGAAGAAUACCGGUGGCGAAGGCGACCAUCUGGCCCGUUUCUGACGCUGAGACGCGAAAGCGUGGGGAGCAAAC
rnacentral:rRNA from 1 species